UUUAAAAGUUAAAAAAGAUAAAAAUAAAGAUAAAAGAUUCUCUAUCGUUCACUCACAUUCCUUCCUCACCUUUCCUCUUCAUCUUCGUCAUCUUCGUCGAGGUUGAGAAAUUCCUUAAAAAUGGCGUAACAAACACUUCUCCAUCUCUCCGCCCCUAAAAAAUCUACUUCCACUAUGAAUUCUAUUUUCUCCUCCAUUGAAUUCCGUCUUCUACCAUCACCAAAUCCACCACAACCACAACAUAAUCUCCACAUCUUCCACCAAAUUCAUCUUUCUCCUCAAACGACCUACCGUUUCAAUUCAAUAAAGACCAAUUCAAUUCUUCCAACUAAUUCUCUAAUUCUUGGAAACAGCACUAUUCCUCCGGCACAAUCCGGCGACAUUUCUGUCCUACUCCAGACAAGCGGCGUACUUCUGAUUGCGUAUUUGAUAGCGAAUUUCAUUUUCCCGGAGUUUAUUAUGAAGUCAUACCGAUCUGAUGAUGAGAGCGAGGGGAAGGGUGGGGGUGGAAGAUGAAGAAUCAAGCGGAGGGAGGAAGAAGCUUCAUUUUAUAUUUGUGUGUAAGAAAAUUGGGAUAAUAUUAUUGGGUUCACUGAUUUUAUUUUCCCAUUUUGAUUGAAAAGGGUAGUUCUUGUAGUUUAUUUUUGAAAAAUUUCAGACAUAUUUGUGGAAAGUAGAAGAUGAAGAUGAAAGGUGGGUAGAGGAAGAGAGAAAGGAUAAGAAAUGAGUUCCCAUGAGAAAAAAAAUUGUUAACUAAACUCUUCUUAAAAUGUC